rnacentral:rRNA from 1 species
UACGGAGGGGGCUAGCGUUGUUCGGAAUUACUGGGCGUAAAGCGCGCGUAGGCGGCAUAGCAAGUUGGGGGUGAAAGCCCGGGGCUCAACCCCGGAAUAGCCUUUGAAACUGGAAAACUUGAAUCUUGGAGAGGUCAGUGGAAUUCCGAGUGUAGAGGUGAAAUUCGUAGAUAUUCGGAAGAACACCAGUGGCGAAGGCGACUGACUGGACAAGUAUUGACGCUGAGGUGCGAAAGUGUGGGGAGCAAACAGG